rnacentral:rRNA from 1 species
UAGAGUUUGAUCCUGGCUCAGGACGAACGCUGGCGGCGUGCCUAACACAUGCAAGUCGAGCGAUGAAGUUCCUUCGGGAAUGGAUUAGCGGCGGACGGGUGAGUAACACGUGGGCAACCUGCCUCAAAGUGGGGGAUAGCCUCCCGAAAGGGAGAUUGAUACCGCAUAACAUUAUCUCUUUGCAUGAAGAGAUAAUCAAAGGAGUAAUCCGCUUUGAGAUGGGCCCGCGGCGCAUUAGCUAGUUGGUGAGGUAACGGCUCACCAAGGCGACGAUGCGUAGCCGACCUGAGAGGGUGAUCGGCCACAUUGGAACUGAGAUACGGUCCAGACUCCUACGGGAGGCAGCAGUGGGGAAUAUUGCGCAAUGGGGGAAACCCUGACGCAGCAACGCCGCGUGAGUGAUGAAGGCCUUCGGGUUGUAAAGCUCUGUCUUCUGGGACGAUAAUGACGGUACCAGAGGAGGAAGCCACGGCUAACUACGUGCCAGCAGCCGCGGUAAUACGUAGGUGGCAAGCGUUGUCCGGAUUUACUGGGCGUAAAGGAUGCGUAGGCGGAUACUUAAGUCAGAUGUGAAAAUCCCGGGCUUAACUUGGGAACUGCAUUUGAAACUGGGUAUCUAGAGUGCGGGAGAGGAAAGUGGAAUUCCUAGUGUAGCGGUGAAAUGCGUAGAGAUUAGGAAGAACACCAGUGGCGAAGGCGACUUUCUGGACCGUAACUGACGCUGAGGCAUGAAAGCGUGGGGAGCAAACAGGGUUAGAUACCCUGGUAGUCNNNGCCGUANACGAUGAAUACU